rnacentral:lncRNA from 1 species
ACUAGUGCAGAAAGGGGAUUCCACUACCGGCCAAAUAGACUUUCCACUACUGGCCGCGGCCAGUAGUAAACACACUCGUCGUUGUAAGUCAAUACUUUCCACGACGGGUCUUUUUAUACCCGUCGUGGUAUGUCAGGUUUCUACUGUAGUUAUUAUUUAAAAUUAUGGGGAUUCCACGUCGGGUUUUACAAAUACCCGUAGUGGUAUGUAUGAGAUUCCACUACGGGUAUUUACAAUAUCCGUAGUGGUAUGUAUGGUUUCCAGUUUUUUUUUUUAAGAAUUGGGGAUUCCACUACGGGUAUUUACAAAU